rnacentral:rRNA from 1 species
UCUGUCGAGCUUGCUCACAGGCACAUCAUAUCCAUAACACCUGUGCACUUGUCGGAUGGCUUAGUGAAGACCGCAAGGUUGGAUCUAUCCAUCUACUUUACAUAACAAUUCUGUAACAAAUGUAGUCUUAUUAUAACAUAAUAAAACUUUCAACAACGGAUCUCUUGGCUCUCGCAUCGAUGAAGAACGCAGCGAAAUGCGAUAAGUAAUGUGAAUUGCAGAAUUCAGUGAAUCAUCGAAUCUUUGAACGCACCUUGCGCUCCUUGGUAUUCCGAGGAGCAUGCCUGUUUGAGUGUCAUGAAAACCCUCAACCCUAGAUUGGUUAAAACCUUUCUUUGGUUUGGAUUUGGACGUUUGCCGAUGAUAAGUCGGCUCGUCUUAAAAGUAAUAGCUGGAUCUGUCUCGCGACAUGGUUUGACUUGGCGUAAUAAGUAUUUCGCUAAGGACAUCUUCGGAUGGCCGCGUUGCAGGACUAAAGACCGCUUUCUAAUCCAUUGAUCUUACGAUUAAUAUUCUUGACAUCUGGCCUCAAAUCAGGUAGGACUACCCGCUGAACUUAAGCAUAUCAAUAAGCGGAG